AAUAAUAGAAAUAUUUCCAAAAUCCUAUUCAAAAAAUUGUUGCAUUUUAAAUAUUUUGGAGGCAUUUUCACAUACAAAUAAUAAACCGCAUAGCAAAACGAUUUUCAGUUGCAACAACCCAACGGCAGCAGCACUCGCCGCGGUAUGGCAACCAAAUCGAAAAAGGCGUUGAAAGGCUUUAACUAAAAUAUUUGUGAAUGCAAGCGUUCUACACAGCAGUCAGAGGUGCAAUAUUCUCGUCCCGAUCUGUGUAGUCGAACAAAUAGCAACUCAAGUUUCUUUCAGAUUUCGAUUUUGCUUGUCGUCCAGAAGCUCGUGAGAACAGAAGAGCAUGCAGUUGGGCAGAGAUCGAACGAGAGCGACGGCGACGCAACCGAAUAACGAACGACAUGCAUAAACCGAAGGCAGCGAAAUAUUUGAAGCAAAUUGAAAUUAUGAAAAUUGAUUUAAUUUUAACAGAUUCUUUUAUAACAACAACUAAAAUUAUAUAAAAACCCAAGGACAACGAAAAUCAUUGAAGAGGCUAUGGAUAAGUUGACGCACACGUCUGCAAUGACAUCGGCAGCAACUAAACACACGAACUCAACAAAGAAGAGCACAACACUAUAUACUCGAUUUGCAAUGCAAGUUUUAAUUAAUGUUAUGACCUUUAUAAGCACCUGCGUAAAGACAAUUAACUUGUAUUUAAACUUUAAACAAUUAAGUAUUAACAAGUGUCGCAAUUCGGGUAAUAAAAUAAGUUUUUUGCACACCUGUGUAGGUUUUAACUAUCGAUAUAGAUAUGUAAACCUCAACGCACAAUGUUGUAAAAACAAUUGAGAGAUUAAUUUUAAUAGACAAAAAUUGAAUUUGUCAAGCCCCAAAAUAUACGCAUAAGAGUUACGAAAAGUUUCUUUAUAAAUAUAUUGUUAAGAAUAUAAUUUUGGUUUAAUAGGAGAUUUCAUAUAUUCCACAUUGUCAUCCCUGUCAUAAGAACACCUAACAAAUAUUAGAAACCUCUCAUAAAAACGACUCACCUUCAAUAUUCCUUGUAUUAAUUUGUCUCCUCUCAAAAGCUCGCGAGAAUAGGAGAGAAUGCCGUCGCGGUCACAGAUCGAACGACAACGACGACGCGUAUGUACCACCAACCGAGUAACGAACGAGGCGCAUAAACCGAAGGCAGCGAAAAACAUAAAUCAACGACAAUUGAAAUUCAGAAAUUUCAUUAAAUUUUUAACACAUUCUUUUAUAAUAACACAAUGAUAUAAUUUAGCA